UACGGAGGAUCCGAGCGUUAUCCGGAUUUAUUGGGUUUAAAGGGUGCGUAGGCGGACUGUCAAGUCAGCGGUGAAAGUUCGUGGCUCAACCACGAAAUUGCCGUUGAAACUGGUGGUCUUGAGUGUAGAUGAGGUGGGUGGAAUUCGUAGUGUAGCGGUGAAAUGCAUAGAUAUUACGAAGAACUCCGAUUGCGUAGGCAGCUCACUAGACUACAACUGACGCUGAGGCACGAAGGUGCGGGGAUCAAACAGG
rnacentral:rRNA from 1 species